rnacentral:rRNA from 1 species
UACGUAGGGAGCAAGCGUUGUCCGGAAUCAUUGGGCGUAAAGCGCGCGUAGGUGGUCCCGUAAGUCCGCUGUGAAAGUCAAAGGCUCAACCUUUGAAAGCCGGUGGAUACUGUGGGACUAGAGUACGGAAGAGGCGAGUGGAAUUCCUGGUGUAGCGGUGGAAUGCGCAGAGUAUCAGGAGGAACACCAAUAGCGAAGGCAGCUCGCUGGGACGUUACUGACACUGAGGCGCGAAAGCGUGGGGAGCGAACAGG